GAUGAACGCUGGCGGCGUGCCUAAUACAUGCAAGUCGAGCGAACAGAUGAGGAGCUUGCUCCUCUGACGUUAGCGGCGGACGGGUGAGUAACACGUGGAUAACCUACCUAUAAGACUGGGAUAACUUCGGGAAACCGGAGCUAAUACCGGAUAAUAUAUUGAACCGCAUGGUUCAAUAGUGAAAGACGGUUUUGCUGUCACUUAUAGAUGGAUCCGCGCCGCAUUAGCUAGUUGGUAAGGUAACGGCUUACCAAGGCAACGAUGCGUAGCCGACAUGAGAGGGUGAUCGACCACACUGGAACUGAGACACGGUCCAGACUCCUACGGGAGGAAGGAGUAGGGAAUCUUCCGCAAUGGGCGAAAGCCUGACGGAGCAACGCCGCGUGAGUGAUGAAGGUCUUCGGAUCGUAAAACUCUGUUAUUAGGGAAGAACAAAUGUGUAAGUAACUAUGCACGUCUUGACGGUACCUAAUCAGAAAGCCACGGCUAACUACGUG
rnacentral:rRNA from 1 species